UUUUUCUUUUCUUUUCUUUUUUUUUCAAGAUUUUACCCAUUUAUUCAUGAGAGACACAGAGAGAGAGAGAGAGAGAGAGAGAGAGAGGCAGAGACAUAGGCAAAGAAAGAAGCAAGCUCCAUGCAGGGAGCCUGAUGUGGGACUUGCCCUGAGCCAAAGGCAGACACUCAACCAAUGAGCCACCCAGGCAUCGCAAAGGGUGAUUUUUCUUUAAAAAAGUAGGUAGACUUUUCUUACUGAGUGAACUUCUGAAGGGCUUCUAUUUCUCUGUCUUUCCUUAAUAUGUGGAACAGGGCAGGGGAUUCUAGAGGCUUUCUAUAACCACUGACUCCCCCAGUUAAUUACUCUUCAGUUAACCUGAUAUUUACUCCUUCAAUAUCUGCUUCCUUUAACAGAAAGCAAGAGUUCUUACAAAUAAAAUAAAUCUUAAUAAUAUCUAUGGUCCACUGCAUGGAAACAAACAAGUGUGCAUAUAGUCCUGAUCUGGUAGGAUUUUUCUCAUUCAUGAUCAUUAGGGUAAUCAAAAAAAGUUGUGCAUGGGGCAUCUUCCUUGAGAUACUUAGUAAAAAACUGUAGAAGGAGGAAAUUAGUGUGUUAGAAGGUGCUAGAGGUGAAUAACCCGAAAAUGAACACCUUUUAUAUUCUAUGAUAAAUGUUGAUACAACGAUUUGCUUCCUUAUUAUCCAGCACCAUCCAGGAACGAUCCUACAAAUCCAGGACAAUCCUAGAAAAUACUGUUGUGAUUGUUUUCAAUCUGGUGAUUCUAUUCAGACAAUCUAGCUCACAAGUUCUGCUGGGGUGGGGACAGCUGACUUUGGAAAAUUUUAGAGUAAACAGCUCAUGCUUUUCAAUACAUUUUCUGAGUGUAACAUUUUUCUCCCAAAUUCCAAAGUUUAUUUUGAUUCAUUAAAAGUGCUUGCCAUUAGUAUCUAUGGAUCUAUUUUUAAAGCUAAGCACAGGGACGCCUGGGUGGCUCAGAGGUUGAGCAUGAUCCCCGGGUCCCAGGAUCUGGUCUGCAUUGGGCUCCCUGCAGGGAGCCUGCUUUUCCCUCUGCCUGUCUCUGCCUCUCUCUCUCUGGGUUUCUCAUGAAUAAAUAAAUGAAAUCUUUUUAAAAAAUAAAAAUAAAAAUAAAGCUAAGCACAAGGAUACCUGGGUGGCACAACAGUUAAGCGUCUGCCUUCAGCCCAGGGUGUGAUCCUGGAGACCCGGGAUCCAGUCCAAAGUCGGGCUCUCUGCAUGGAGCCUGCUUCUCCCUCUGCCUGUGUCUCUGCCUCUGUCUCCCUCUUUCUCUUGCUCUCUCUCUCUGUCUCUCAUGAAUAAAUAAAUAAAUUUUUAAAAAAUAAUAAAAAAAGAAAAAAGAAAAUAAAUUUAAAAAAGAAAAUAAAGCUAAGCACAAUCAACCCAUGACAUUUUCCCAACAGAAACUUAAUAUCCUCAUAUAUAUGUUACCAUUAACAUCAGUGGAGACAUUACAUAUGGUGAUAACUGCAGAAAUGUGCAGUAUUCAUAAAGAAUCAAUUAAAGGUGCUGGAGAAUCAUGAGUUAGCCCUACAGCUUUAUUUUAGAGAACCAAACUUACUUUUAACUGCUAUUUACUAAGUUGAUUGUGUAAUAAUUCUUGUUUCCAAUUCCAAGGUAUGUUUCAAGAUAUUCUCCGACCAAGUGGUUUUCAAUUGCCUUGCUUCAGGAAACUAUAAAACAUGUUCGCAAAUGAGUAUUUUGUAUUCACACACUUUCAGAGCAUAUCCAGGACAAAAUCAUGUAGUGAGAAACUUCAGGGGGAACAGCAGCAGGAAUCAGAGAAAAAACAGGAAGGUCAAACAGGAAUUUGUUGUCUGUGCAUGAAAUUAACAUACUCUUAUAGGUUAAAGAAAAAGCAAACAAAAAGAAAAGCAGAUUUGAAAAAGGAAGAAUUUAUCACUAUGAACUGACCCUCUACUGGGAUUAAGGACACCUGGUCACACACACAUUGCUAGAGGAACUAAGCUGCUCAGGUUAAUUAUGAAGGUGUUCUCUACAUUUCCACAGCAGGUUCAGGUCAAGCAAGUCUGAGUUAAAUUUACCACCACUUGGGGACCUUGAAACUUAUUUCUGACUUGUGCUAUCACAUUUACUCUAUAAAACCCACAGUGAUCAUUUUAAUUUGCCAUUUUACAACUCUUUCACAGUAAACAUGUUGUGUAAAGAGGCAAAUCUGGUGGUAUUCAGCUCCAAAUUAAAAAUUAGUUUUGGCUUGGGGCAUGCCUUGUCAAGUGGUAUGGAAAUUCAAGAACAAGACAGUCAAAAAAAAAAAAAAA
rnacentral:lncRNA from 1 species